rnacentral:rRNA from 14 species
GUCUAUGCCCAGAGUACCCUGAACACACUCGAUCUCAUCUGAUCUUGGUGGCUAAGCAGUUUGGCCUGGCGAGUACUUGGAUGGGGUAAAGCUGGCUGAGCGUGAGCCAUGAGAACAAGCCAAUAAGCAGUAUUGAUC